AAAGUGGAGCAAUCCAUGAGUAGAGUGGCAAACGGGUGAGUAACACGUGGGUGACCUGCCCUCGAGCGGGGGAUAACGUCCCGAAAGGGACGCUAAUACCGCAUAACAUCCUGCCUUUGAACAGGUGGAGAUCAAAGCUGGGGAUCGCAAGACCUAGCGCUCGAAGAGGGGCCCGCGCCUGAUUAGCUAGUUGGUGAGGUAAUGGCUCACCAAGGCAACGAUCAGUAUCCGGCCUGAGAGGGCGGACGGACACACUGGGACUGAGACACGGCCCAGACUCCUACGGGAGGCAGCAGUGGGGAAUUGUUCGCAAUGGGCGCAAGCCUGACGACGCAACGCCGCGUGGAGGAUGAAGACCUUCGGGUCGUAAACUCCUUUCGAUCGAGACGAAUGGCCUCCGGGUGAACAAUCCGGAGGAAUGACGGUACCGAGAGAAGAAGCCCCGGCUAACUCCGUGCCAGCAGCCGCGGUAAUACGGGGGGGGCAAGCGUUGUUCGGAAUUACUGGGCGUAAAGGGCUCGUAGGUGGCCAACUAAGUCAGACGUGAAAUCCCUCGGCUUAACCGAGGAACUGCGUCUGAUACUGGAUGGCUUGAGUUUGGGAGAGGGAUGCGGAAUUCCAGGUGUAGCGGUGAAAUGCGUAGAUAUCUGGAGGAACACCGGUGGCGAAGGCGGCAUCCUGGACCAAUACUGACGCUGAACAGCGAAAGCCAGGGGAGCAAACGGGAUUAGAUACCCCGGUAGUCCUGGCCCUAAACGAUGAAUGCUUGGUGUGGCGGGUAUCGAUCCCUGCCGUGCCGAACUAACGCAUUAAGCAUU
rnacentral:rRNA from 1 species